CAGAAAUGCAGCUUUUCCUUUCUCUUGGAUUAUUUGCUUGGGAUAAAUUUCCCACAGAUAACAUCUCAUGUUAAAUGAGUUUUGAUACAGGAUGCCAAGUAGUUUUUCAACAGGAUUGCAUAUUUCCAUUGUGUUUGCCCAGAAUGAACUAAUUUCACCACACCCUUUUCUGUGUUGGAUGCUAUUACAUUUUUUAAACCUAAACAAUUCUAAUUUUAUUAGACUCUAUAUUUGUAUUUGUAUAGUUUUCCCUUUCUCUUUUUAGAGCCGAAAAUCCAAAUAAGAGAGUAGUCAAAGUUGGUAACAUGAACCUCUGAAUCAACAGAUGAGCCAGCUGGGCGCCCAGGGGUGAGGGGAGGAGCAGGUGUGCUCAUUCAUCCCUGCAGUUCUGGGAACAAGAGGGCUGGCUCUGUGAGAAGGGACGGGAGCAGCAGGUCCAGCCCCAGCCGGGGGUUCAAGUUUAAAAGGUCUCCCUAUGCAUGGACAAGAAGCCGUUGCUUCUAGAAAAGGCGUAUGUGUCCCAAGCCAAUGGAAAGAAGACUUUCAGGACCCCCAGCUCUAUCUAAGCAUUACAGAUAAGAAGAAAGCUUGCUCUAAGAGGAGAGUUAAGGUGAGAGACUUUCAAGUAUGAAUACGCAGAACUCCAUCCAGCUGGAAAGAGAGGAUCCGAACUGGCGAAAUCCUGGGCUGCCAAAGUGGAGCGCACGAACUUAACCACUCGGCCAUGGGGCCAGCCCUAGGAGCCAGCAUUUUUUUAAUGGAAUGUCAUGGAUUGGAGUGCAUCACAUUCCGCCCGUACAUAGUUGUAGAUUCUAGUUGCAAGUCCUUCUGAAGUGCUAUGUGGGAACACCACCUCAGCAUGGCUUGAUGAGCGGUGCCAUGUCCACACCCAGGAUCCAAACCAGCAAAACCCUGGGCAGCUGAAGCGGAGUGUAC
rnacentral:lncRNA from 1 species